rnacentral:rRNA from 1 species
GACGAACGCUGGCGGCGUGCUUAACACAUGCAAGUCGAACGGAAAGGCCCUGCUUUUGUGGGGUGCUCGAGUGGCGAACGGGUGAGUAACAAGUGAGUAACCUGCCCUUGACUUUGGGAUAACUUCAGGAAACUGGGGCUAAUACCGGAUAGGAGCUCCUGCUGCAUGGUGGGGGUUGGAAAGUUUCGGCGGUUGGGGAUGGACUCGCGGCUUAUCAGCUUGUUGGUGGGGUGGUGGCUUACCAAGGCUUUGACGGGUAGCCGGCCUGGGAGGGUGACCGGCCACAUGGGGACGGGGAUACGGCCCAGACUCCUACGGGAGGCAGCAGUGGGGAAUAUUGCACAAUGGGCGGAAGCCUGAUGCAGCAACGCCGCGUGCGGGAUGACGGCCUUCGGGUUGUAAACCGCUUUCGCCUGUGACGAAGCGUGAGUGACGGUAAUGGGUAAAGAAGCACCGGCUAACUACGUG